GACGAACGCUGGCGGCGUGCUUAACACAUGCAAGUCGAACGGAAAGGCCCCUUUGGGGGUACUCGAGUGGCGAACGGGUGAGUAACACGUGAGUAACCUGCCCUUGACUUCGGGAUAACUUCAGGAAACGGGGGCUAAUACCGGAUAGGAAUCCUUGCUGCAUGGUGGGGGUUGGAAAGCUUCGGCGGUUUUGGAUGGACUCGCGGCUUAUCAGCUUGUUGGUGGGGUAGUGGCUUACCAAGGCUUUGACGGGUAGCCGGCCUGAGAGGGCGACCGGCCACAUUGGGACUGAGAUACGGCCCAGACUCCUACGGGAGGCAGCAGUGGGGAAUAUUGCACAAUGGGCGGAAGCCUGAUGCAGCAACGCCGCGUGCGGGAUGACGGCCUUCGGGUUGUAAACCGCUUUCAGCAGGGGCGAAGCUUGUGGUGACGGUACCUGCAGAAGAAGCACCGGCUAACUACGUG
rnacentral:rRNA from 1 species